CGAUGCAAUCAGCAUGCUGAUUAAGGUUGCUUGGUUUUUUACUAAACAUUAACUGAAUGAAAACGGGUAGUGCUUGUUCUGCUUGGGGGGCUUUAAGGAAGCAAAUGGACUUUCAGAACAGAGAUUGUCAAUAAAGGAUCUCACCUGCAUCUCAACAAUUGGGCUUGCAGAACCAGCCUUUCACAGGGUCAUGGACAUAUGGACACAAAAGGAGCCUCAGUCAAAAAACUAGAAGUCCAGUGAGUGCCAAUUAAUUGCCUGGGAACACUUGGCUAAUAAGUGUCAAAGAUCUAUGAUUUCAUCAGUGUGAAAAAAUCCCACUGGGGAAACUUCUUUUCCUGAUGAAGAGCAGCAACUUAUAUGUAAUUUAUAGUUUUAGAGAACUGCUUGGUAGAGAAAUUUAAGUAACUUGCCCAGGGUGCCCAACUGUUAUGUGUCACAGGCAGGUCUGAGCUCAGAACUUGGGCUUAGGUUUUCCUGAUCCCAAUGGCACUUGUCUGAUGAUCAUACUUCUCUCUUAUAUAAUCAUGACUGGUAUUAUUAACUGGUAUUAAUUCUAUUAACUUUAGGUUACAUUUAAUCAUGUUCCCUUUCUAGUUCAAAGACCAACUCAUUGUCUUAGUUGUUUGCCUAACGGUGCAGUUGUACAAAGCACCACUUCAAAAGCAAGUUAGAAUGUAAUACUAAAUAUUGGAGGAAUGAUUAAGGGGGCAUCAGAAACACCUCUAGAGAGUCUAGGUUAGGUUAAGAGAAAAAGUUCUUCCAAACCACUAAGAAUGAAAUAGACCUAUUUAAGAUUUGAUAUAGUUAAGUGAUCCUAUGGCAAAAAGUAAAUUUCUUUAUCUUUUGCAAACCAUAAGCACAAUAUAAAUUUUAUGAUGAUUAUCCUUAGCACUUUGGUUUUAUGUACUGAGAGGUAGAGAUAAUAAAAUAAGGAAGUCACAAAUUGGUCAAAACUGUAUCUAUGUCAGUUAGGUGGCACAGUAGAUUAGAUAAAGGGUGGACCUGGAGUCGAAAACAACUGAAUUCAAAUCCUUCCUCAGAAACUCAUUAGCUAUGUGACCCUAGGCAGAUUAUUUAACUUCUCUCAACUUGUUUUCUCAUCUGUAAAAUGGGAUUAAUAAUAGCACCUGUCUUAUAGGAAUCAAAUGAGAUGUUAACUUUUUUUUGAAACCUUAAAGCACUAUAUAAAGACUAGCUGUCAUCAUCAUCACUCUUUCCAUCAAGAGCACUCUAAUGACAAAUUAAAAGGCAAUUAAAUUAAAUGGAAAUGGCAAAACAAACUAGAAGUACUUCUUUAUAAGGAGAAAAGCUGAGGAAGGAAAGUUUGUAUGAAAAAUGAUUAAAAAUAUAUUGUGAUCCAUAAGAGAAAAGGAACAGUCCUUGGUCAAUAUCACACUUUUCCCUCUAGAUCUAUCAUUCUGAUCUAUUCCAUGGUAAUUAAGGCCAAAGCAGGGGCCAAAAAGCUGACCCUGCCACAGUGAUAAAAAGGAUACUGGUUGUCUGAGGACCAGCCUAACCCAGUUUGCCACAGAAAUUCUCAAAGACUAAUUAUUAAGUUGUAAAGGGGUUGAAAGCUGUUCUCCAUGGAAGGAUCAUGGACAUUACCAAAGUCAGAUAUAUAUUUUUUGUUUUGAAGUAAAAAAAAAAUGUGUAGGAGAUUUCAUUGAGGAGAACAGCAUUUGAAAAGAUUAUUCUGGCAACUGUAUUUGAUGGAAAAUAAUAUUGAGUCAGAAUAAAGAGCUAAGAAUCUGCUUCAGUGCUGGAAUUGUGGUGAUGAGGCCCUAGAUAAGAGUGGUAGAUAUGAAAGCAGAGAGAGAGGGUGGAAUUUGAUAUUGCCAAGGAAGUAUUGACAGGUCUCAAUGAGAAAUUUAGGAGGGUAUGGAGGAUAAAAGGAAGGGUAUAAUUAAAGAUACAUCAGAGUCAUAACUUUGUGUGGGAGCUGGGAACAGGAUGGUUAUACUGACAACACAGGAAAUUUUAAGAAGGAGCUUGGGUGUAUGGGGAGAGAAAUGAUAAAUUCAGUCUUUGCUAUAGUAUCUAAGACUUUGGUGGGACAUUCAAGUGGAUGACAAUUAUACUCAAUGUGGAUGACUACAGAAGUAUAGAAGUUUGUCAGGAAGACUUGGAUUCAAGUUGUACCUUGGACACAUAAGAACUGAGUG